rnacentral:rRNA from 1 species
UACAGAGGUGGCAAGCGUUGUCCGGAUUUAUUGGGUUUAAAGGGUGCGUAGGCGGCUUUAUAAGUCAGUGCUGAAAUAUCCCGGCUUAACCGGGAGGGUGGCAUUGAUACUGGAAGACUUGAGUGCAGUCGAGGUAGGCGGAAUUGACGGUGUAGCGGUGAAAUGCUUAGAUAUCGUCAAGAACACCGAUAGUGAAGACAGCUUACUAGGCUGCAACUGACGCUGAGGCACGAAAGUGUGGGGAUCAAACAGG